rnacentral:tRNA from 1 species
GCCCCUGUGGUGGAAUGGUAGACGCGUCCGACUCAAAAUCGGAUGGAGAGAUCCGUGCCCGUUCGAGUCGGGCCAGGGGCACCA